UCCAGACUCCUACGGGAGGCAGCAGUGGGGAAUCUUCCGCAAUGGGCGAAAGCCUGACGGAGCAACGCCGCGUGAUCGAAUGAAGGCCUUCGGGUUGUAAAGAUCUGUUGACAGGGACGAAUAAGCAAUGCGAAUAGUUUUGUGUAUGACGGUGCCUGUUUAGAAAGCUCCGGCUAACUACGUGCCAGCAGCCGCGGUAAUACGUAGGGAGCAAGCGUUGUCCGGAUUUACUGGGUGUAAAGGGAGCGUAGACGGCCAGACAAGUCUGAAGUGAAAAUCCAGCGCUUAACGUUGGAAGUGCUUUGGAAACUGCCGGGCUAGAGUGCAGGAGGGGCAGGCGGAAUUCCUAGUGUAGCGGUGAAAUGCGUAGAUAUUAGGAGGAACACCAGUGGCGAAGGCGGCCUGCUGGACUGCAACUGACGUUGAGGCUCGAAGGCGUGGGGAGCAAACAGGAUUAGAUACCCGAGUAUG
rnacentral:rRNA from 1 species